rnacentral:rRNA from 1 species
GUGUCAGCCGCCGCGGUAAUACGGAGUGUGCAAGCGUUACUCGGAAUCACUGGGCAUAAAGCGCGCGUAGGCCGGACCUCAAGUCGGUUGUGAAAUCCCUCAGCUCAACUGAGGAGCUGCAGCCGAUACUGCGGUCCUUGAGGACAAAAGGGGAGAGCGGAACUUCUGGUGAAGCGGUGAAAUGCGUAGAUAUCAGAAGGAACGCCGGUGGCGAAAGCGGCUCUCUGGUUUGUUUCUGACGCUGAGGCGCGAAAGCUUGGGUAGCAAACGGGAUUAGAUACCCGCGUAGUCC